AGCAUUGAAACAUCAGUUCCCAUAUGAUCACUGAAGUUAAGCAAUGUUUAGCCUGGUAGGUAUCUAGAUAGGUGAUUGCUUGGGAAUAUCAGGUGCUGUAAG